UUGAACGCUGGCGGCAUGCUUUACACAUGCAAGUCGCACGGCAGCGCGGGCUUCGGCCUGGCGGCGAGUGGCGAACGGGUGAGUAAUACAUCGGAACGUGCCCAGUAGUGGGGGAUAGCUCGGCGAAAGCCGGAUUAAUACCGCAUACGACCUGAGGGUGAAAGCGGGGGAUCUUCGGACCUCGCGCUCUUGGAGCGGCCGAUGGCAGAUUAGCUAGUUGGUGGGGUAAAGGCCUACCAAGGCGACGAUCUGUAGCUGGUCUGAGAGGACGACCAGCCACACUGGGACUGAGACACGGCCCAGACUCCUACGGGAGGCAGCAGUGGGGAAUUUUGGACAAUGGGCGAAAGCCUGAUCCAGCAAUGCCGCGUGUGUGAUGAAGGCCUUCGGGUUGUAAAGCACUUUUGGCGGGAACGAAAAGGACUGUGCCAAUACCACGGUUCGAUGACGGUACCCGCAGAAUAAGCACCGGCUAACUACGUG
rnacentral:rRNA from 1 species